rnacentral:rRNA from 1 species
CUACGGGAGGCACCAGUGAGGAAUAUUGCACAAUGGGGGGAACCCUGAUGCAGCAACGCCGCGUGGAGGACGACGCAUUUCGGUGUGUAAACUCCUUUUAUAUGUCAAGAAAAUGACGGUAGCAUAUGAAUAAGCACCGGCUAACUCCGUGCCAGCAGCCGCGGUAAUACGGAGGGUGCAAGCGUUACUCGGAAUCACUGGGCGUAAAGGACGCGUAGGCGGGUUGGAAAGUCAGGUGUGAAAUCCUACAGCUUAACUGGAGAACUGCACUUGAAACUUCUAAUCUAGAGUAUGGGAGGGGGAGAUGGAAUUAGUGGUGUAGGGGUAAAAUCCGUAGAUAUCACUAGGAAUACCUAAAGCGAAGGCGAUCUCCUGGAACAUUACUGACGCUAAGGCGUGAAAGCGUGGGGAGCAAACAGGAUUAGAUACCCUCGUAGUC